rnacentral:rRNA from 1 species
UGAAAUCUCGGGGCUCAACCUCGAAACUGCGUCUGAAACUACAGGUCUAGAAUCUUGGAGGGGGAAGGGGAAUUUCGCAUGUAGGGGUAAAAUCCGUAGAUAUGCGAAGGAACACCAGGGGCGAAGGCGCCUUCCUGGACAAGUAUUGACGCUGAGGCGCGAAAGCGUGGGGAUCAAACAGGAUUAGAUACCCUGGUAGUCCACGCUGUAAACGAUGAAUACUAGGUAUUGGGGGAUUUGACCCCUUCAGUGCCGCAGCUAACGCGUUAAG